AUGAAGGUCCCGAGCGCACUACAAGAGUACAAGGUGGUGGGUCGCUGCCUGCCCACCCCCAAAUGCCACACACCGCCUCUUUACCGCAUGCGAAUCUUUGCGCCUAAUCAUGUCGUUGCCGAGUCCCCCUUCCGGCACUUCGUAUCUCAGUUAAAGAUUAAGAUUAAGAAGUCUUCAGGGGAGAUUGUCUACUGUGGGCAGGUGUUUGAGAAGCGCCCCCUGCGGGUGAAGAACUUCGGCAUCUGGCUGCGCUAUGACUCCCGGAGCGGCACCCACAACAUGUACCGGGAAUACCGGGACCUGACCACCGCGGGGCUGUCACCCAGUGCUACUGAGACAUGGGCGCCCGGCAUGGCGCCCGGGUCCACUCCAUCCAGAUCAUGAAGGUGAGGGAGAUCGCAGCCAGCAAGUGCCGCUGGUCGGCCAUCAAGCAGUUUCACGACUCCAAGAUCAAGUUCCCGCUGCCCCACCGGGUCCUGCGCCGUCAGCACAAAUCACGCCUCAUCACCAAGAGGCCCAACACCUUCUUCUGGGCGCAGGGGCCUCGCCCGGGGUGGACCCACAGGUUGAGCUUCCCUUGA